rnacentral:SRP_RNA from 1 species
GCCGGGCGCGGUGGUGCGUGCCUGUAGUACCAGCUACUCGGGAGGCUGAGGUGAAAAAAUAGCUUGAGUCCAGGAGUUCUUGGCUGUAGUACGCUAUGCCAAUUGAGUGUCUGCACAAAGUUCGUCAUCAAUAUGGUGACCUCCCAGGAGCGUGGGACCACCAGAUUUCCUAAGGAGGGGUGAACCGGCCCAGGUCGGAAACGGAGCAGGUCAAAACUCCCGUGCUGAUCAGUAGUGGGAUCGCGCCUGUGAAUAGCCACGGCACUCCAGCCUGGGCAAUGUAAUGAGACCCCGUCUCUG